rnacentral:ncRNA from 1 species
CAUUUGGUUUUAGUAUUAUAAGUACUAAAUUAAAAGGGAAGUUAGUGAAAUUCUAACACGGUCCCGCCACUGUAAAGAGGAUGAAAACACAAUGCCACUGAAGAUAUUUGGGAAGGUGUGUGAGUAAAGUGAUUCUAAGUCAGGAGACCUGCCAAUGAUCAUAG